UGAUGGCGUUCCUUUACUGCCUGGAGUGUUGGCACUAGGAGUUUAGGAAUUUAGGUCACCAUAAAUCCAACCUGAUUGUCUUCACUCAGAGAAUAUUGGGAUAAUGGGAUUAUUUGCUCAUUUUCUGAAAUGUGCUGGAUCAAACAAUG